AGCGUACACGGUGGAUGCCCUGGCAGUCAGAGGCGAUGAAGGACGUGCUAAUCUGCGAAAAGCGUCGGUAAGGUGAUAUGAACCGUUAUAACCGGCGAUGUCCGAAUGGGGAAACCCAGUGCAAUUCGUUGCACUAUCGUUAACUGAAUACAUAGGUUAACGAGGCGAACCGGGGGAACUGAAACAUCUAAGUACCCCGAGGAAAAGAAAUCAACCGAGAUUCCCCCAGUAGCGGCGAGCGAACGGGGAGCAGCCCAGAGUCUGAAUCAGCUUGUGUGUUAGUGGAACGGUCUGGAAAGUCCGACGGUACAGGGUGAUAGUCCCGUACACCAAAAUGCACAGGUUGUGAACUCGAAGAGUAGGGCGGGACACGUGGUAUCCUGUCUGAAUAUGGGGGGACCAUCCUCCAAGGCUAAAUACUCCUGACUGACCGAUAGUGAACCAGUACCGUGAGGGAAAGGCGAAAAGAACCCCGGCGAGGGGAGUGAAAAAGAACCUGAAACCGUGUACGUACAAGCAGUGGGAGCACCUUCGGGUGUGACUGCGUACCUUUUGUAUAAUGGGUCAGCGACUUAUAUUCUGUAGCAAGGUUAACCGUAUAGGGGAGCCGCAGGGAAACCGAGUCUUAACUGGGCGUUAAGUUGCAGGGUAUAGACCCGAAACCCGGUGAUCUAGCCAUGGGCAGGUUGAAGGUUGGGUAACACUAACUGGAGGACCGAACCGACUAAUGUUGAAAAAUUAGCGGAUGACUUGUGGCUGGGGGUGAAAGGCCAAUCAAACCGGGAGAUAGCUGGUUCUCCCCGAAAGCUAUUUAGGUAGCGCCUCGUGAAUUCAUCUUCGGGGGUAGAGCACUGUUUCGGCUAGGGGGUCAUCCCGACUUACCAACCCGAUGCAAACUACGAAUACCGAAGAAUGUUAUCACGGGAGACACACGGCGGGUGCUAACGUCCGUCGUGAAGAGGGAAACAACCCAGACCGCCAGCUAAGGUCCCAAAGUCAUGGUUAAGUGGGAAACGAUGUGGGAAGGCACAGACAGCCAGGAUGUUGGCUUAGAAGCAGCCAUCAUUUAAAGAAAGCGUAAUAGCUCACUGGUCGAGUCGGCCUGCGCGGAAGAUGUAACGGGGCUAAACCAUGCACCGAAGCUGCGGCAGCGACACUAUGUGUUGUUGGGUAGGGGAGCGUUCUGUAAGCCUGCGAAGGUGACCUGUGAGGGUUGCUGGAGGUAUCAGAAGUGCGAAUGCUGACAUAAGUAACGAUAAAGCGGGUGAAAAGCCCGCUCGCCGGAAGACCAAGGGUUCCUGUCCAACGUUAAUCGGGGCAGGGUGAGUCGACCCCUAAGGCGAGGCCGAAAGGCGUAGUCGAUGGGAAACAGGUUAAUAUUCCUGUACUUGGUGUUACUGCGAAGGGGGGACGGAGAAGGCUAUGUUAGCCGGGCGACGGUUGUCCCGGUUUAAGCAUGUAGGCUGGUUGUCCAGGCAAAUCCGGAUAAUCAAGGCUGAGGUGUGAUGACGAGGCACUACGGUGCUGAAGUAACAAAUGCCCUGCUUCCAGGAAAAGCCUCUAAGCAUCAGGUAACAUUAAAUCGUACCCCAAACCGACACAGGUGGUCAGGUAGAGAAUACCAAGGCGCUUGAGAGAACUCGGGUGAAGGAACUAGGCAAAAUGGUGCCGUAACUUCGGGAGAAGGCACGCUGGUGUGUAGGUGAAGUCCCUGCGGAUGGAGCUGAGACCAGUCGAAGAUACCAGCUGGCUGCAACUGUUUAUUAAAAACACAGCACUGUGCAAACACGAAAGUGGACGUAUACGGUGUGACGCCUGCCCGGUGCCGGAAGGUUAAUUGAUGGGGUUAUCCGUAAGGAGAAGCUCUUGAUCGAAGCCCCGGUAAACGGCGGCCGUAACUAUAACGGUCCUAAGGUAGCGAAAUUCCUUGUCGGGUAAGUUCCGACCUGCACGAAUGGCGUAAUGAUGGCCAGGCUGUCUCCACCCGAGACUCAGUGAAAUUGAACUCGCUGUGAAGAUGCAGUGUACCCGCGGCAAGACGGAAAGACCCCGUGAACCUUUACUAUAGCUUGACACUGAACAUUGAGCCUUGAUGUGUAGGAUAGGUGGGAGGCUUUGAAGCGUGGACGCCAGUCUGCGUGGAGCCAACCUUGAAAUACCACCCUUUAAUGUUUGAUGUUCUAACGUUGGCCCCUGACCGGGGUUGCGGACAGUGUCUGGUGGGUAGUUUGACUGGGGCGGUCUCCUCCCAAAGCGUAACGGAGGAGCACGAAGGUUAGCUAAUCCUGGUCGGACAUCAGGAGGUUAGUGCAAUGGCAUAAGCUAGCUUGACUGCGAGCGUGACGGCGCGAGCAGGUGCGAAAGCAGGUCAUAGUGAUCCGGUGGUUCUGAAUGGAAGGGCCAUCGCUCAACGGAUAAAAGGUACUCCGGGGAUAACAGGCUGAUACCGCCCAAGAGUUCAUAUCGACGGCGGUGUUUGGCACCUCGAUGUCGGCUCAUCACAUCCUGGGGCUGAAGUAGGUCCCAAGGGUAUGGCUGUUCGCCAUUUAAAGUGGUACGCGAGCUGGGUUUAGAACGUCGUGAGACAGUUCGGUCCCUAUCUGCCGUGGGCGCUGGAGAAUUGAGGGGGGCUGCUCCUAGUACGAGAGGACCGGAGUGGACGCAUCACUGGUGUUCGGGUUGUCAUGCCAAUGGCACUGCCCGGUAGCUAAAUGCGGAAGAGAUAAGUGCUGAAAGCAUCUAAGCACGAAACUUGCCCCGAGAUGAGUUCU
rnacentral:rRNA from 1 species